GACGAACGCUGGCGGCGUGCUUAACACAUGCAAGUCGAACGGAAAGGCCCUGCUUUUGUGGGGUGCUCGAGUGGCGAACGGGUGAGUAACACGUGAGUAACCUGCCCUUGACUUUGGGAUAACUUCAGGAAACUGGGGCUAAUACCGGAUAGGAGCUCCUGCUGCAUGGUGGGGGUUGGAAAGUUUCGGCGGUUGGGGAUGGACUCGCGGCUUAUCAGCUUGUUGGUGGGGUAGUGGCUUACCAAGGCUUUGACGGGUAGCCGGCCUGAGAGGGUGACCGGCCAAAUUGGGACUGAGGUACGGCCCAGACUCCUACGGGAGGCAGCAGGGGGGAAUAUUGCACAAUGGGCGGAAGCCUGAUGCAGCAACGCCGCGUGCGGGAUGACGGCCUUCGGGUUGUAAACCGCUUUCGCCUGUGACGAAGCGUGAGUGACGGUAAUGGGUAAAGAAGCACCGGCUAACUACGUG
rnacentral:rRNA from 1 species